CCUGCAAGACCACCUGGAAGAGGAGCGCGUUCUGGACUACGAUAUGCUGCCUGAGCUGACCGUGCCCGUUGACUUGGCCCAGGAUCUGCUGUUGUCUCUGCCUCAGCAACUUGAGGACAGUGCUCUGAGGGACCUGUUCAGCUGCAGUGUCUACAGGAAGUAUGGGCCCGAAGUCCUGGUAGGGCAUCUAAGCUACCCAUUUGUGCCAGGUGCCCAGCCAAAUUUAUUCGGAGCCAAUGAAGAGUCUGAAGGUGAGUGCCCUGCAGACAGCAGCAGAGAGACCUGCCUUUGGGAAAGUGUCCUCCAAGAGGUGUCUCCUCUAACAGUGUGCCAUCUUGUCUGAAAGAGAUACCCUACCCACAAUCCCAGAAACUUACGAUGUGCAUGUGUGUGUGUGUCUGUAUGUCCAGACCCAAGGAUAAUUACAGAUGUCAUUCCUCAGCUGUCAUUUAUCUUUCUUUUAUUUAAAUUGAUUUUAUUUUGGCUGAGUGUGGUGAUCCACACAGAUAUUUGAGUUUGAGGUCACCCUGGCUGUCCUGGAACUCACUCUGUAGACCAGGCUGGCCUCGAACUCAGAAAAACGUCUGCCUUUGCUGCCCAAGUGCUGGGAUUAAAGAUGUAUGCCACCACUUU
rnacentral:lncRNA from 1 species